ensembl:lncRNA
ACAGAUCUCUCUCCAGUCUGCGUCUUCUAAGUAUUUGGUCUCUAAAACUACGGUGCCAGCAGUGUGUAAACGUGCACAGCGUGGGCGUGCACGUUUAUUUUGUACUCCCCCAGCCUUGUGGAACCACUAGACUCCCAGACUGGGUUCUGACCUGGUCUGCACCGGACCCUCCUCACAGGAAGAGGAGGAUCUUCAGAUGAAGUGGAGGAGGAAGACGAAGGUCUAAGAGCGCCCCUAGUCCUGGUCGAGACCUGGUCUUAGUCCUGGUCGAGACCUGGUCUUAGUCCAGGUCUAGACCUGGUCUUAGUCCUGUUCGAGACGUCUUGGACCAGCAGUCCUUUGAGGACGCACUGUGUGAAUCAGAACAAAACAGGACUUCUUCAACACAUGCACACACACGCAUAUAUGGUACACACGCAUGCAUGGUACACACGCACACAUAUGGCACACAAACAAACACACACACUCCGACAAACACAGCUCAAUGCAUCUCAAAUUCCUGCUGCCUGAACUGUUGUUAACCUGUCUAGUAGUCUCUCUCCCUUGCUCUCCCUCUGUGUAACUGUUCAGUGUGUUUCGUUGUGUGUCGGCCCAUCCACAUCUGUAGAGGGUUAGCAGCACAGCUUCCCUCCACGUCGGCUCAAAGGAGCUCCGCGCGACGCAGCGGAGAGAGCUGCUGUAGUCCGCUCUGUAGCCGCGCAUGGCCGCUCAUAUAUCAAUACUGUACAACGCUUCUGAUAGGCUGACCUCUCGCUGGACCCCCUCUCAGACCCCCACCGGACCCCCACCGGACCUGGACCUGGGUUAGACCCUAUCUAGACGGCACUCGGACCCGACCUAGACCUGAGUUAGACUCGAUCUAGACUGGCUCUAGAUGUGCCCCCUGGCCCGUUGACCCUCAGCUCAUCACGCUGGUGUAGACGCCGCUGAACCCGACGCCGUGAAUGAGUGACCGACAAAUGAAUGAAUGAAAUACUGAAGGGCAGCCCACCGCCGGUGGAGCCCCGUGUUCAGGGUGACCCGCUGAAUGUGGACCCAGGAAGACCCAGCUAGCUGAUGGCUAGGAAGCUGAUAGCUAGCUGAUAGGUAGCUGCCAGCUAGCUGAUGAAUAGGUAGCUGCCAGCUAGCUGAAGGCUAGGUAGCUGCCAGCUAGCUGAAGGUUAGGUAGCCGCCAGCUAGCUGACGGCUAGGUAGCUGAUAGCUAGCUGAUGGAUAGGUAGCUGCCAGCUAGCUGAUGAAUAGGUAGCUGCCAGCUAGCUGACGGCUAAGUAGCCGCCGGCUAGCUGACGGCUAGGUAGCCGCCGGCUAGCUGACGGCUAGGUAGCCGCCGGCUAGCUGACGGCUAGGUAGCCGCCGGCUAGCUGAUGGCUAGGUAGCUGCCAGCUAGAGGGUAGCUGCCAGCUAGGGCGCUGCAAACCAGCUGAUAGCUAGAUAGCUUCCAGAUAAAGAGCUUCUAGAAAGGUACUUUCUAGUUGGACAGUUGCUUGACUGGUGGUUUCUAGCGAGCCGCUAGGUGGUUUUCUAGCUAAAUAGCUGCUGGACAGAUAGCUGCUAACAAGGCAAUGUAGCUGCUAGCUAGAUUCUAUGGUUCUAUCUUGAGGUUCUAUCUUGAUCGCUGAUGUUCUGCUAGUUCCUGGCUACGUUACCUCCAGGCAGCAGCUUUCAUCUUCUGAUAAACUGCUCAAGUGUGGCGUUAACGAGUUGACUAGCUGAGCUGGGUGGUGAUGGUUAGAAGCUAGCUAGGUAGCAGCUGCUAAUGAAGAAGCCACCAGUUCUUCUGCGAUAACUUCCUGGUUCAAACUGUUUCUUGACUCGUCUUGCUUUGCUUCGGUUCCCCAGACGUCGGUACUCCUCCAAACCGCCCCAAUCCGGUUCUGCUCACUCUGCGCACUUUUCAAAGUAAAAGUCCUGCCGUGUUCGGAUGCUGGGAGGAAUCGUACGGGAAUGGUUUCGGGGGGGAGGGCAGGGGUGCUGAGGGGAUCCCUCCCAUGUGGAGGUCAGAGGUCAGUCCGGUUCCAUUCUGCUUCUCCUCACGCCCCCCGCUGGGCUGUAGGGCAGGGGGGCUCCAUGCCUGGACUCCGCCUCCUCUCUGGUCCCCAACGGAUCAAAUGUAUUCAGCUCUUUGGUAUAAUCUUUGAGUCCAAAGGUACUUAUUCAUGUGGACAUCUCGCUACAUCGAGGCACGCCCCCAAGAGCACUUGUAUGAACCUUCAUUAACGUAUGUAGCAUUAGAUUGGUUCAAUGAGAUGUCGUGUUGAGAUGUUGUCCCGCCCCUUUCGCCCGGAGCAGCCACUCAGGCUGCUGCUGUGUGCUUCAAUAAAUACAACUGCCUUCUCAAAGGUCACGCCCCCUUCUUAGGUGUGUGUGUGUGUGUGUGUGUGUGUGUGUGUGUGUGUGUGUGUGUGUGUGUGUGUGUGUGUGUGUGUGUGUGUGUGUGUGUGUGUGUGUGUGUGUGUGUGUGUGUGUGUGUGUGUGUGUGAUGGGUCUCGUGUGAAUCUCCAUAAUAAAUAUUAAUAAAUGUGAUCAGAUGGUUGUUCCUGGGGUCAUUAAAACACGACUCAAAUCAAAAGUUAAUUAAAUUCUUCAUUAUUCUUCGUUAUUACUUCUAAACGCUGCGUCCACCAAAACUAAACUGCUACGCGUUUUAUUGCACACUCUCUCUGUCUCUCUCUCUCUCUGUCUGUCUCUCUUUCUCUUUCUGUCUGCCUCUCUUUCUGACUAUCUCUC